rfam:Aedes albopictus isolate Foshan contig18953, whole genome shotgun sequence.
GGCUCGGUAGCUUAGUUGGAAAAGCACAUGUCUAGCGUAUAAGGGUCGUGAGUUCAAAUCUCACCUGAGCUG